CACCGCGGUUAUACGAGAGACCCUAGUUGAUGACUACGGCGUAAAGAGUGGUUUGGGACCCUACAAUAAAUAAAGCCAAAGACCUCCCAAGCUGUCAAACGCACCCCGGAGGCACGAAGCCCUAACACGAAAGUAGCUUUACCCUCUAUUCCCGACGCCACGAAAGCUAAGAGA
rnacentral:rRNA from 1 species